GGGCAAAUGCCAAAGCAAUUGACCUCAAUUGCAUUUGCAGUAUUAGAAAAAAUACAGAAGUCUCCUAUUCAGCACUGCCAAUAAUUUCUGUCAUUAAAAAGGGUGAGUACAAUACAAUGAAGGUCUCACUUCAUCUAUGUUGCUCCAUAAAUAAUGCCUCCUAUUUAUUUCCUUGGAAACUACAAGAGAUACAAAGAGCACAGUAACGUUAUUUGAUAGAGAAAAUUCUCAGCUACAAAACACUAUUUUUCAGCAUAGUCACCACAGUUAGCUGUGCCUUUUCACCAGCAAUGAGAAGAGCUUUUGUGCUGUGCUUGUAAGAAUCUGUGCUAGCGGAGGUGACCCACUCUUACUGUCACUGCUGGUGAAACGCAGCACCCACUGCCUCACUGUGCUCACACCCACUGUCUGGUAUCUGUUAACAUUCAGCAAGUGUUAAUGAAUCCCAAUAGGUGCAAUUCCUCAUGGAGGAAUUCAGUUACAUACCUUUGCUUCAUAUGCACUUCCAUGUCAGAUGCCAUUCUAUCAGACUGCCCCUCUGCUGCCAUCUGUCACACGACAACACAGGGUAAUGAAUACUGGCAGGAAGGUUCAACCUCUACUGCUUUACCUCCAACAUCCACCUCUAACAUUGUGGGCCAGCAUGAUAAAAUAGGAAGCAUUACUUUUGUAGCAGUCCUUGCACGUACUUGGUCCCUAGCUUCACCAAAUUUGUGUUUCAGAAGCAGUAUGGAGCAGAACAGUCAUCACCACUCCACAUAACCUCAUGGACUGCUUUUGUCAAGGGGACUAUGCAGUUACCUCCAAAGUAGGACUAUUUCAUCCAGCUUUUGCUCGUUAAUGACAUUCUGUACAGUUAGGUAAUGUAUUUACUCACUGGUAUCAAGCUGAUAAGCACCUGUCAACUACCUGCCCCAAAAUGGGUGUAUUAUGUUGCCUACUUCCACCUGGGUCAGCAUAAAAAGCAAAUGCUGUCACACACUGAGCAAAGACACCUACCAUUUAGAGCAGCGCCCUGCACUAUGUGGCCUAGAAAAUACCAGGGCUGUGUAGGUUAAGAGCCUGUGAUAGCAAACUGGCCACGCUGAUUGCAUCAGUUGCACUGUGAGCUAUAUAAAAGUGUUUUCCAGAUUACAUAUCUCCAUAGGUUAUGCUGUCAUUAUAAGGAACUGCAUUUACGCAGUAGGGGAAUUUGAGUUGGAAAUGUGACACUGCUAGUAAAAAGGUGAACUGGAACAAAAAUUACCCUGGAAAGAAGCACCUUUCAUUUCAAAGAAUCUGUACUAAGCCUGAAGAGAGCAAAUAAUGAGCAAUGAAAGGAGUCUUUGUUAUGCUGUGAUUUCAAAGCUCUGCCAAAAUGUCAAAUAAUCCAUUUAAUCAAUCAGAAAAUUAAAGAAUGUGGUAAAUUCCCAAGGUAGUUUGAGAUUUUAGCUGUGCCAAGUAAUUCAGCUACUGCAUAAAGCUUAUGUCACAAUAGCAAUUACUUAAUAAGUAAUUUUUGUCUAACCAUGUUGAUGUAAAAAUACAAUUUAGUUUUCAAAUUAUUUGCAGCUGUGCUCUGAUAUGGAUACAGCUUGCAGUACCUCAGGAGAUGUUUACAUUUGUCACUUCAAGCACUGCUUUAAUCUAAUUUUUAUCACACUAUAGCCUUUAAAAAGUUCCUGUUACCUCAACGCACCAAGAAAUUGAUUUCUUAAAAUGGGUCUUCAUGAGAUAACAUAAGAAAAGGAAGGAACUAUCUGUUGAUUCACAUAGAAGUUUCAUUAUACGCUUCUGAUACCAGCUCCAAAACUCCUAUAGUUUCAAAUAUCAAUUCUUUAUAAUGUUUGCUUUUCAAACUUGACUAUUUGUUUCAGGACUGAGUUUAAUGCUCUUAAGAAUCCUAGAUUAUCACCAUUUAAGAUCUGAAAAUGUGAAACAGGCUACGCUGAACAUUUUUUAUGUUGUAGGCUGUGUUUUUCUAUCCCUCUCAAAGGACAAAUUUGACAGAGCUGUUAAAAGUGCAGAUUUUUGCUUUUAGCAGUCCUAAUGAAAUCACAGAUCCAUUUUGUCAAUGUGAAAUUAAACAUCAAUAUGUUAUUUUAAAAAAAGUUUUGAUGAGUAUUUAGAUGCAUUGCAUUGGUUUGGAAAACUUGAGAAUACUUUUAUUGUCAGCCAAAAUAAUUCACUACUACUGCAUAAAGAUGGCUAAGUUCAGCUGAAGUCGAAUAAGCCUUAAUUUUAAAUCAGACUAUUUUAGGUUUGGUUCUGCAUACAGAUUUCCAGGACUUUUUAUUUUAUAUUUUUUUCUGAAUGUUUUUGUGUUUUAUUUUAAAGAGCUGCACCUAUAUUUAUCAGUAACAAUAUGGACAAUCUCUGUUUUUCUUCCAUAUUUUUAAAAAAUUGAAAUGCUCACAGGAAAGAAUCACAAACUCCUUUAAAUAUAUAUUUUCACUACAGGUUUGUGGGGUUUUUUUUUGUUUUCUUUUGUUUUUUUUAAAUAAGCAUUCAGUGUAACAAACAAAGCCUGACUUGCAUUCAUGACAGCAGGCGGUGAGUGUCUUUGUGAUCCUGCAGCCUAUUAGCAUGAUCUCCUUCAGUGGCCGGAUGAAUAGCGACCUUCCUUUCAGAAGCCACAGUGAGUUUUACAAAAGCAUCUGUGCAGAGGAGGGCUGGAAAGAAUCCAGAGUCAUGCAGCUUUCACCAACUCACUGAUCCUUUCUUUGGUUCUCUAUCUCUGCUGCUUAUCAACCUCUCUCUGUCCCCCUGCCUCGCAUUUCCCAGGACAAAGACUGGACAAAGACUAGCAUGAAGAUAGUAGAAGCAUCCUGCAGAAAUGAAUUGAAAUGGGCCAUAAGUUGAGAACUCCUCAGGGUGCACUCAGCUUCUUCAAAAAUUCAAGGACUUUGGCCAAAGAAUAAGCACCAAGUUGGUAACGAUUGACUACAGGUGGUCUUCAGAUUUUAACAGACUGGGGCAUCUCCUUGCAUUCCCCUUCCAAUGUCCUUCUAGAGCACAAGUGCUUCCAGGGUUGAAGAACCAGGGAAACAUCCUCCUCAUUGCAUUUCCUUAUGGGGACAGGAAGAAUUAGCAUACAGACUUGGAGCCGUACAUGAAAUAAGAAAAAUAACAGUGCUUUUUGUCCAAAAUAUUUUUAAGAGAGAACUACUGCUUUCUGUAAUGAUUCUUCUAGUUAUCCUACUUGCUAGAGUUCUAAAAGUAACCUAGCUAAUUCCUUCAAAAUGCUAUUCCAGGUUGAUUAAAUCAACUAAAAAUUUAGGUCCAACCAAAGCAUUUUCAUUUCAAACCUGAAAAAAAAUCCUCUUGAAAAGUUCAUUUAUUCAAGCAAGUAGAAAUAUGGAGCCUGAACUCUACCCAGAACUAUUCAUAAUGGGUAGCAACACAAUAAGAGGCAAAUUUAUGUGGAUAUAAAAAAUGGACUUCAUUCUGAAAAUAUGCAUAUUUUCCAUGGGGGAAAAAAAAAGCUAUUUUCAUUUUAGAAAUGUCUGCUAAGGAGUAGCAAACCAGAAACAAUUGCCAUCCAUGUUAUAAAAGGAGAGAGAAAUAUCAAAACUCACAUAACAUUUGCCAGAUGGCCAAGUUACGGGUGAUAGUUUGUAAUUAAAAAGAGUAUAAGGGAGAAGGAUUGAAAGUAAUACAUUGUGUACAGUGUUUUUUGAGAAAUCAAGAAAUCAACCACACUGACAAGGCAACUUACAAGCUAACCCUAGGAAUUAAAAUGAUGCUGAAUUAUUUGGUCAGAAAAACUUACUUAUCUCUAUGCACAUGGAUCCUUCUACCCCCUGACCAGUCAACUGAAAUAGCAGCUCAACUUCUUGUCAUAUAAUGCUAAGCUUCAUUUUCCAAAGUCCAGCAUAGUGUUGCGGAUGAAGUCAACUGAUUCUUCCAUCAGCCAGGCAAUGACAGUGCUAGGAGAACAGGAGUGACGAAAAUAGAGUUUAACUGCAAUCUACGAUUAAACUGGAUGAAAUGGAGAAAAAGAAUACAGGAGAGCAUCUGAAACUGUCUAAAGAACUUUGUCCUAGGUUUCUGGUAAGUAAUCACCAUAUCCAAAGUAAACAUUGAAAACAUCUGGGGGCAAAUGAUGAAGACAGUUUUUAUCUUAACCAAAUACAAAGUUGAAAGACAAGACCGGAUUAUUCUCUUGGCAGUUCAUCCUGGAUACUUUUGGAAGCAAUUCUGUUAAAACAUAAAAGGCAAAUACUUUGCUUUCUAGCAGAAAUCUGCAAGUAACUUGUUUUGCAAAGUUUUACACAUUUUACUUCACGUGACAUCAUGUGUGUAAGCCAAAGGCUGAAAUAAUUGCUGCACCGUGUCUGUGAAUUUGUCAAGGUCCAACUUUUCUGAGUGCUAUUUGAUUUAAUCUAGAAAUCUAAAUUUAGGGGAAAGGAAAGGGGAAUAUGCUUCCUUCCUAAUUAUUUCUUGAACUUUACACCAAAUGAGGCCCUGAGUUACUAUAACAAGAACAUACUUUUUAGCAGGGGAAAAAAAAUAAAGCCACACGGGAGAGAAAUAAUGAAGGAGUCAAAGUACAAAAAAUCAAUAGUUUUAUUAGUAUAUUUUUCAGACAAAGAAUACAUAAUUAAAAUUGUAAAUAGUUGUAGCAGAACAAACAGCCUACUCAAAAAUAUUCCCAAAGGAAACUGGUACCCAAAGAGCCAAGCAGAGUGGUAAGGCACUAUGUGGAAUGGCAGCAAUGCAAAUAAAUUGUCAAGGAUUGUUUUCUGCUCUCAACACUAUCAGCCUUUAUCUCAGUUCCAGAAUGAGAAAAGAUCAUGCACUUUCAAAAGCAAGUAAGAGGGGAAAGAGAAUUCUUUGUCAAUCCCCAGAUCAUCUCUCAGAUUUGCUCUUGAACAUGGAAAUAAAGAACCUGGAUCACUAGCUAACAGGGUAGACCUUGCUUUGUUCUGUCUGUAAUUUUCAAGCAUUUACAAAUCAUUGGAUUUUCUUGAUAUUCAUUUUGGCAUUUGUUUAUUAUACACAUUAAAUUCUUAGCUUAGUGUUUCAUAUACAGUGUUAUCUUUAGAAGAAUAUGAAAGAUGUAUGAACGGUAUAAACACCAAACACUGAUGUGAAGAUGGAUCAGCUCAUUAGAAACUGAUUUCCUCUCAUCAAACUACAUGAGUAAGAGAUGAAGAAAGAAAAUGAAUAACAUGGUAGUCAACAUGGUGGCAUACUAAAUCAUCUUCCAAUCAUUCUCAAUAACUCUACAACUACAGCAUGCUAUUCUGAUGGCCCCAUCUGAGUUGAUGAUUUUUCACAAUGUAUUUCAUGGCUUCCAUCCCUACAUGAGACUUUAUUACUAUCACAUAGGAAUAAAAAGCCAUAAAACACUAGAGUGAAUUUAUCUUGAUCAGAUGCAAUACUUAUUUUCUUCACAUGAUUUCACCACCACUCCAAAACUAACCAAUAAUUUCAUGCUAUAUUACUGAACAUUUGAAACUACAUUUCAAUGACAAGAAACACACUGAAAUGGUUACAUCACAAAUUAACAGAGCUUUAGCCUUUAAACACAUUCCUACCUACGAGAAUCAAGAAACAAUCACAACACACAACCAUUUAAUCCACUGAUAAAAGACAAGACACCACAGAAAAAUGUCACUUCCACAUACAUCUUUCAACACAUAAGGAAAGACGAGACAAAAUAGAAUCUGGUAUAGGUUAAGGCUUUGAAAGCACCACUACCAGCAUCUUAUUAAAAUUCUUUGCCAUGGUGGCUUCCUGGCAUGCAUUAUAAAAAAUGCAGAGACAAUCACUAAGAAAUCUUUAAGACAUCUGAGCUUAAGUAGAGAAACAAAGCAAAACUCUCUACUUAUGGCACUGAAACAGCUACUACCACAGAGCUGCUAGCUGAUAUGGCUCCUAGUCCCUGGGACUGCUAUAUUCUGGGCUAUGAGCUAUUUACUAUAGCUCCAAAGUCCCUAUUUCUCUCAGUCAAAGACAAAAUGAGACAAAUUAUAAUAUGCCCUUAUUUUCUUAGCCAGACUAUGAUACUGAGGUCCUGGUCUGAAAACAGUUAUUUAUUAAUGUAAUUACUGUUCAUCUUCUUAUUACUACUAAUUGGCCAAGUUGAAACACAAGUCUCCAGGGUCAUUGAAAAGUCAAUACAAUAAUUUAACUGCCAUUUGAAAAUAAUUUUGCUUGCACACUUGCAAGCAAACUAAGCUGCAUCAGAAAUUGUUAAGCUAAAAGCCUUCACCAAAAAUAUUUUAUAUUUUUCCAGCCAUGUACCCCCCUUGCAUGAUACCAAAAUGAACAGUGAUGUACAGUUGACACUAGAACUAAAAAUUAACUGAGCUUUGAUUUAUAUACUGCUACUCUUUCUUGCCUACCAAAUCCUAUUUCUUGCAAAAUAUGAUGUUGAUAGCAUAGAAAAGAGCAAGAAAUCAUUAAAUGAAAGGAAGUGCAUAAAUAAAUUCAAUUAUCAUGCAUAAAACAUGCAAAUGAUUUAAAGACUGCAUAUGAAACUCUAGUUUAUAUUCAUUAAUCUCAGGUUGCACUUUUGAGGGAGAAAGAGACACUAAUUGGGUCCAGAUUAAUGCACUCCCAAACCUUCCAAUUUGUUUUUAGGUGAAGGUUAAAUGAGAUGUGUUAAAAUAAACACAGCUGCUCACAUCCCCAAAUCUCUAUCAUUUGUGGGAAAAAUAAAAAAAUGGAAAGUAUAUUGCAGGCUUAGUGUAACUGAGAAUUAGGCCUUUCCUGGGGACCUCAGAAUUGCCAUUUGCCUACUGCAACUUUUUAUAAAACCUUUCCCCAGGAAGAUAAAUUUGUGCUGAAAAUUUGUCCAAACAUCAAGCUAGGCACAUGAUACAGACAACAGGGUGGAAGGGCUUUUAUUUGUCUAAAUCCUGUUAUGUUUUCCUCCCUUACUCCAAAGGAUGCUGCUGACAUCUCAAAUGCCAUGAAGAAGUCACUGUAAGAACUGGCUCAGCCACAACCUGGCACAUUGCUGCCACACAACUCAGUGCAAUAGGAAACAAGGCCUCACAAGAUGGCUCAAAGGGCUCAAAUUUGUUCAAUCAGACAGCAGAAAAGCAACAUAUAAUGGAAAAAACUCCUCCAACCCACUGGCUGCACCAGGCUGCACUGUUCCUUGGCACCCAGGGAGUCCAGUGAAUCAGCUAGAGAUGGAAAUAGUGCUCCUCCAACUGCCCCAUCUCACUAGCUGUCAACCCCUACCUACCCAGGGCUAGUCCAGCCCCAGAAGAAAGGAAGGUGUAGGGGAAAGGGGAUGGACCUUUGGUCCAGAAACAAAGAACAACAGAAGGGGCCAUUCCCAACCUUUGACAAAGGAAGUCUAAAUGAAAUAAACAACAGUAACAACAACAAAAAGUCACCAAACUAAUUUCACACUGAAAACAAUGAAUUUGGAUGAGAGGCUCCAAGGGGAAAGGUUAAAAUGUUGUCAGUGACGUAAUUACUCUUCCCUUUUGUUAAAAGACACUGGAAAUAGAAUCCCUCCAAUAUAAUGGAACACAUAUGUACAAGAUGGGAUGUAUCUGAAUUCUUAUAUUUCUCUGAUUGAUUUUAAAAUGUUUUCCUCUUGAACUAACGACAUUACACAAUGAAAGCACAAAAACACAUACAUGUAGACUUAGACAUAUAUUCACAAACAUGGUUUCAGACACAGAUCCACUUCUGCUGACAGCCUGAUUCGGUGAGCUUUUUAUUAAAAUUAAUUUUUGCACUUGCAGUUGCUAUAUUAGCUGCAAUAAAUAACAACAAUAAGGCUGAAAUCUGUCAACAUCUUGACAAAUAUUCAAAGAGCUGUUUAGGUAGGAAAUAUGCUUAUGAUAUUCAUUGCUCCUAAAAGAGAAAAUGAUUAUACAGUAACUAAACCCUAAGUAAGAGCUAAAGAUAUUCACCUCAUGAAGCCAUUGCUCAACUAGCCCCUUGGCACUUGCUGGAAUUAUUCACAGCACGAGCUCUACUUUUUCAUUUUCUGCUGACUCCAUGUGGGUAAUUUCUUUCUCAUGAUUAAAAGUGAGCUUGGCAAUUCCUUCAAAGCAUUUCUUUAGGUGUGGCUGGAUGUGGAGUGGAUCCUUUGUCUCAGAAAGGAUUCUUGAAAGAUCAUUGCUGCACUGAAAAAAAAAAAAAAAAUCACACACAAAAAAACCCUGAAAAUGAUUUAAAAAAAAAAGAUUAAAAAAAAGAAAUUUAUAGGUAUUUACACAAACAGUUUUUAUACCACCACCACCAACAGACAGAUGCAAUGGACUGUUUACCUUGGAAAGAAUAGUCUUUUCUUCCCCAAAUAAUCAUUCAAGGCCUUCCUGAAUGUCAUCCAAAAGCGAUUCUGCCUCUUCCAACUUAUCCAGCAUCUGGGGCUGCGAGAUAACCCUCAUGGCAUUGGUCUCCUUCACUGACUCCUUCGUUAUUAGCC
ensembl:lncRNA